rnacentral:rRNA from 1 species
AUGGUGGCCAUCACGGUGCCCAUCUCGGUGGACGCGAUCCCUCUGGUGAAAUGCGCACAUGCAGCGGCCGCGACGGUGCCGAGCGUCGACCUGUCGGCGCCGGGCGCGGCGGCGGCCGUCGCGGACGCGUGCCGCGGCGUGGGCUUCUUCAGGGCGACCAUCCACGGCGUGCCGGCCACCCUCACGGACACUCUGGAGGCCCGCGCCGCGGCCUUCUUCACGCUGCCGCACAAGGACAAGCUGGAGGCGUCGGCGCGGCCCUUGGGCUACGGCAGCAAGAGCAUCGGCUGCAACGGCGACGUGGGCUGGCUCGAGUACAUCCUGCUCUCCGUCGGGUCCGGCUCGGUCGCGGCGGCCUCCCUGCCGCCGUCGCUCCGGGCGGCGCUCGAGGAGUACACGGACGCGGUGCGGGAGGUGGGCGCGCGGGUGCUGGAGCUCAUGGCGGAUGGGCUCGGCAUCGCGGUGGACCACCGCGGCGUGCUGCGGCGGAUGGUGGCGUCGGACGAAGCCGACGAGAUGGUGCGCGUGAACCACUACCCGCCGUGCCCCUGCCCCCUAGCAGCAGGGCAGCGCGGCGUGAUGGGGUUCGGGGAGCACACGGACCCGCAGAUCAUCUCCGUGCUCCGGUCCAACCGCACCGGGGGCCUCCAGAUCAUGCUGCCGGACGGCCGCUGGGUCCCCGUGGCCCCCGACCCCGAUUCCCUCUUCGUCACUGUCGGGGACUCCCUCCAGGUGCUGACGAACGGGCGGUUCCAGAGCGUGAAGCACCGGGUGGUGGCGCCGGCGGAGGGGCAGCAGUCGCAGCUGGUGCCGGUGAAGACGGAGUCAGGGCUGGCGCCCGUGAAGACGGAGCCGGGGCUGGCGCCGGUGAACGCGGAGUUCGACGACGACGACGCGGCCCUCGAAUGGGCGCGCCAGGACUCCAUCGCGUUGGAGAAGGCGCGCCGGGAGAAGGAGAAGGAGCACCAGUGUGCCGCCCUACGCCGCUUCGAGGAGCGCCGACGCGGCCGCGAGGAAGGCGGGGUCGUCGUCUUAUGCGACAGCGACGACGAUGACGACGUGCCGCCGCCUGUUCGCCAAGGCGACGCCGAGCAGGGGUCCAGCAGGGGCACCCGCGUCAAGGAGGAGAAGGCCGACGACGACGAUGGCGGCGACGACUUCAGCCACUUUCUUUUACUUUAG